AGUAGAAGUAACCUUUGCCAGUGUCCUCUUACCUUAUUCAAGA
rnacentral:sRNA from 1 species